UUUUAAUUUCGUAACAGGUAUAUGAAGGUGACAGAAGUCUCACAAAGAACUGCAGGCUUCUUAGAACAUUUGAUCCCUCCGGAAUCCUUCUAGCUCCAAGGGGCACCCCACAAGGCCACAAAUCUAAGUCACAUUCGAAGUAAACACCAGUAUAUUAAACAUGAAGGCAGAAUACAAUGUGGGUGGCAAAUUUGGAAAAGAUCACAUUCACCGAUCAGAAGGGU